rnacentral:lncRNA from 1 species
CCGGGCUGGACAUGCAUCCUGGCCUUCUGUCCUAGACUGAUGACAUUCUUUUCCCACAGACUCUCCAGAUCAACAUCGGCGUAUUUCACCUGUUCUUGGGCGCCCUGUGGUACCAUAUCCAAAUGACCCAGUUUGUGGAUAUUUAUCGAAGUUACAAAACUUUUAUUUUGGAUGCAAAAUAUCCAUUAAUUUCAGCGUUUAUUCACAUCGUUUCAGGAACCGUUGCCAUAAUCGCAGAGAAAAAUCGUCGGCGUUCUCUGGCAAAGAUCACAGUGGGGCUGAACAUCAUUGGCAUCAUUUAUUCCAUCUAUGGACUGAUCACACUGGUCAUUGAGUUUCUUAGUUAUGACUCUAUUUCCAUACAACAUAGUUGGCCUGAGAGGUCUGGUAAGAUACUUUCAGAUUAUCUGUUCGUCUACACCACCCUCUAUGUCUUCGUUUCAUGGAUCGUCCUCAAAUGGAACCACAAAGCCAUCUUUUACUCCCCGAACUGAGGGAGUGUUUCCUUCCUCUCCUGCAUGUAAGGUUGUGGGGAGGGCAGGGGGAUAGAAGCGGUAAGGCUCCUUCCUCUGGGGCUCACGCAGUGUCGGGGGAGAAGGAAGAUGGGAUUGGUGCUCUACCAGAGUUCUGUCAAAGACGAG